CCCCAUUCCAUUUUCUGCACAUUUGGUCUGAGAUUUCUCUAAGUGGUUGUGAUAUUUCACUUCCUACCUGAGAAUACUUGGAACCAAAUCUUUUUGGACCCUUUCUUUGACCACGAGAUGGCCAACGAGAAUUAUUAGGUUGCCGAUUGAUUCCGUGCUCCCUCUAGCUUUGCUUGGUUGUUGUUCAAAGACCGCUAAGCAUUCUCAGGUAUUGUUGAAUGAUGUUGAUU
rnacentral:lncRNA from 1 species